rnacentral:rRNA from 1 species
GUCUACGGCCAUGCUACCCUGAACAAGCUCGAUCCUGUCUGAUCUCGGAAGCUAAGCAGAGUUAGGGUUGGGCCUGGUUAGUACUUGGAUGGGAGACUACCUAGGAAGACCAGGUGCUCUAGGUG